AUUGGUUUAGCCAUCUCAGCCCUCUAUUUUCUUGAGACUUUCUGACCUCCAACAUCUCCAGCUUCCUUCAAUCCUGAAAGAGCCCUUAACUCCAACAAACAAACAAACAAACAAAGGUAGUUAGCAAGUAAGAGAAACUGGGCAAGAAAGAGAGAUGUCAAACCAACUCCUUAUAUUGCAGACUUCUAAGUUCAAGGGCAAGUUGAGAGCCUCCUGUGCCUCACCCUGAUCAAGGCCCAGCUGCUCACACACAGGUUUCCAGAUCCACAGAGGUUUUAAUGUUGCAGGUCAUGCUCCCUGGGAAGCAGACUACAUCCAGGUGACACCUACAGAGAGCUGGUUGCAACGUCACUAAUUUUUCUGAAGCAGAUGUCCACUCCAGCUUCAUAGGAACUGUAUCACUCAGAUUCACUCACGUAUCGUAUUCCAGAAAUUAAUCACAGAGGAUGGGAAAGCAGAUUAUGUGGGUUUUUUUCCCUCUGGAAAAUUUAAGUUCAGAAAGAGAGCUCAUGCCGACAUCAUGUAUCACCCACCCAAACUAAGAGGGAAGGCUAAGAACUAAAUAUGAUUUAGGAUGUGAGUUGAUUCUGCCCCGCAGCACAACUGCUUGCUAGUAGCAGGAAACUAUUUCCAAAAUAUGAGAGUCAGGACAAAAUGGAGUUGAAGUACUAAUUUCUUUCUUCUGUUUGUUCAUUAUUGGUACUCUGUUAGAAUUCUCAGUAUUUUUUUUUCCUAGUGCUGUCAUGUUCAUAAAAUGAAAGCAAAUAAAAUUCAAUCAUAAUAGAAUAAGCACCAUGACAGAGGGUAGCUAAAAUGAUAUAUCACGAAUGACAUGGAAAUAUGAUUUAAGGAGAAAAAACUUAGUUGCUUUUAAGCCAUCAUUGCAGAAUAUAUUAGUGAACAAGGACAGCUUUUCAGUGCUUUCCAUGGCUCCCCUUAUCAACUUCAUCUGAGCUCUCCAACACUCCCAAUAGUUCCUUCCAGUGUUAUUGUUACUUAGCAUGUUUCUUUAUUAUGCGACAGAGGGCGGAAUAUACACCAUUCUUUACUUUUCCCCUAAGAUAUAAAAAUGCAAAGAUAAAGUUGUCUUAUUAUUGUUUUAAGCAAAUAAUAAAUA